rnacentral:rRNA from 1 species
UACGUAGGGUGCGAGCGUUGUCCGGAAUUAUUGGGCGUAAAGAGCUUGUAGGCGGUUUGUCGCGUCUGCUGUGAAAUCUCAAGGCUCAACCUUGAGCUUGCAGUGGGUACGGGCAGACUAGAGUAUUGCAGGGGAGACUGGAAUUCCUGGUGUAGCGGUGAAAUGCGUAGAUAUCUGGAGGAACACCGGUGGCGAAGGCGGCAUCCUGGACCGAUACUGACGCUGAGGAGCGAAAGCCAGGGGAGCAAACGGG